rnacentral:rRNA from 1 species
UACGUAGGGAGCAAGCGUUGUCCGGAAUCAUUGGGCGUAAAGAGCGUGUAGGCGGCUUGGUAAGUCCGCUGUGAAAGUCCAGGGCUCAACCCUGGAAUGCCAGUGGAAACUGUCAGGCUAGAGUCCGGAAGAGGCGAGUGGAAUUCCUGGUGUAGCGGUGAAAUGCGCAGAUAUCAGGAGGAACACCAAUGGCGAAGGCAGCUCGCUGGGACGGUACUGACGCUGAGACGCGAAAGCGUGGGGAGCAAACAGG